UACAGGGGGUGCAAGCGUUGUUCGGAAUUACUGGGCGUAAAGAGCGUGUAGGUUGCUUGUUAAGUCAACUGUGAAAUCCCUUAGCUCAACUAAGGAAGUGCAAGUGAUACUGGCAAGCUAGAGCUCCGGAGAGGAUGGUGGAAUUCUCGGUGUAGAGGUGGAAUUCGUAGAUAUCGAGAGGAACACCAGUGGCGAAGGCGACCAUCUGGAAGGUGGCUGACACUGAGACGCGAAAGCAUGGGGAGCAAACAGG
rnacentral:rRNA from 1 species